CAAAAGCUGAAGUAGAAGACCAAACAAACAGGACUUUAAGCAUGUGUCACUUGGCACUUCCUUUGGUCUUGCGCUGACACGUGGUAGCAAUGAGACGAAGACACACGUACGCAACGCCGUACGCGCAUAUGUAGACCCAAGGCUGCAGUUCACGCUGCCAAUGCAAGGUGCCAGAAUGAAAGAGAAAUUAAAGAUUGCAUAAAAGAGUAACACCCAUUCAGUCUCUAAUUGCCACUUGAAUCGAUUGUGCUCUUCCCUUCGAAAAAGGAGAAAGAAGCUACUCCGUAGUAGUUUGGGUUUCCCAUUCAGAAAUAACAAGCGUCUCCUUUGAGAGGCGACGGGAAGAAGAUGCAAUGGAAUCAUGUGUAGUUCCAAGAAGAAAAGAAUGGGAUAUUCGCAUUAUAAGCUACGCGCCUACAGGUGUGCGGAGUAUAUACCAAUAAGUGGAAAAAAAAAAUCAGAUGUCUGAACCAGAGGUUGAACUCCGGGACCACUAGUGUGUGAGACUAGCGUGAGCGUGAAACCAACACCACCAACCCAAAGGCAGACUUUUACCGAAGCAAAAAAAAUAAAAAACUCAAACUAUUUUACUAGCCUUUAUCUUUCGGAGCUACUCCUUCCGUUUCAUAAUUCUUGUCUCAAAUUUGCUUAAAAAUAGAUAUAACAGUGUCUAGAUACAUGUAAGAAUUCGACAAGAGUUAUGAAACGAAGGUAGUACUCCGUACUCCCUAUUUUACUAGACCAUAAUUUGGAAUCAUUCUGCUUUUCCACGGAUAUUAGAUUCUGAAUUGCAGGGGCAGUUGACAGUAAGCCAUAAAAAAGAUCACGGGCUCGUGGAGCGCCGUGCGAGUUUUGUUUGUCGACCGGGCCGGCCGGCCGGGGACUCUGAUUGAAUCGGGGGCAUGUGCAUGUGCGAGGCCUCUUUUCCAUCAGGUCGAUCGGGUCAGGCAGUGCGCUCGGGUACGUGCUACGUGUGUCUGUUGCAUCGUGCUAUAGACCUAUAGUAACCCUGUGGUCCAUGUGAGUGCGUAACACGGUUUGGCUGGACGCGCAUGCAGAAUUGCAGAUCGUAGCGCAGCACAAAGGAAGCGAAAGCAAGUUUGGCACACGAUGUACAAUGCUGAAAGGCAGCCCCGGCCGGUGCAGCGUACCUAGAGCGUGUCGUAGAGCAUGCCUCCUACAAGCGGUGUAUUUCCUUUUUACGAACUGCACGGUGCACAGAAAAAGAACACAGGGAGAGACGUCAAUACACGGCGCUUUGAGAAAGUCACUUGCGUGCUCCUUCUACUACUUGAUUACAGGCAACACAAAAUGCCAGCAGUACUGCUCGAGUAGCUCAUUCCCAGCUCGGUAUUUGUUCUGAGUAUAUUUAUUGUGGAAAAGCGCAUUAUAACUCAUUCCAAUACAGUAUUCAGUGGACCAUGACAGUUCUUGUUUGCAGUGCCCUGGUCAUUUAUAUUGAAUUAAGAUUAAAUGAAUGAAAGCAUUCAUUGCCCGGGUGUGGUAGCCCAAAGAACGGAGAGAAUAUUGAUUUGUGAUUUUUUUGCAUGUCACAGACAAUUCUUAUUUAUUUCUCAAAACUUACCACGAUACUACGUAGGAUUCUACCCGUACAGGGUGCACGAUCUUUAUUUUCAAUUUUUGAAACUUACCAAUACGAUUUUCCUAAGUUAAAAGAUGGCCCAGCUUCUAAAUACUUCUAGCUCUAUGUAUACAAUGUUUGAUUUACUCGGCAGAGUGAUGGACUUUUCUAAAUUAUAAUCUUCUAUGGCACAUCGGCAAAUUGAGUAUACUAUAUAAUCGAGUUAUGCAAGUUUUUACACCAGACACUAAUCAUGGAGUGAUUUUUUUUGUUUGGAAUAUACCUAGUUGCAAACACGACUGACACGUCAAUUAAUGAAGGCCGAGUUUCGGAACGUCUAAAAUGAUGAAGUAAUCAUCAUUGUCGUCUAGUUGUCGAUGAGAAUCAUGAGAUAAAGUCUACGAUUUGAUAUUUUGUCGGGUGGGGGGUACAACCGUCGCACUACUCAUCCAAUUUAUGAUUGGUUCUCAUGCGCGAGAUUUUUGUUUUGUUUGAAAUACCUAGUGGUGCAACGUAAAACAAACCCGACUGACACGACAAUUAAGGAGCUUUGGAACCUCUAAAAUGACGAAGUAAUCAUCAUUGUUGUCUAGUUGUCGAUGGGAUAAAAUCUAGGUUUUGAUCCAUUAUAGGGUGGGAGUAUAACCGUCGCACUACCCAUCCAAUUUAUGACGUAGAGUGUACACACAUGCAUAUAUAUUGUCAUCUAGCUGUCGACGGGAUAAAAUCUAGGAUUUGAUCCGUUAGAGGGUGGGAGUACAACCGUCGCACUUCCCAUCCAAUUUAUGAUGGGUUCUCAUGCAUAACGAGUGUACACACAUGCAUAUAUAUAUUGUCGUCUAGUUGUCGACUGGAGAACAUCUAGGAUUUGAUCCGUUAUAGGGUAGGAGUACAACCGUCAUAGCACCAUCCAAUUUAUGAUGGGUUCUCGUGUACACACAUCCGUAUAUAUUGUCGUCUAAUUGUCAACUGGAUAGAAUCUAGGAUUUGAUCCGUUAUAUGAUGGGAGUACAACCGUCGCACUAACCAACCAAUAUGAUGGAUUCUCAUGCAUAACGAGUGUACACACAUGCAUACAUAUUGUCGUCUAGUUGUCGACGAGAUAAAAUCUUGGAUUUGAUCCGUUACAGGGUGGGAGUACAACCAUCGCACUUCCCAUUCAAUUUAUGAUGGGUUCUCAUUCGUAACGAGUGUGCACAAAAUACCAGGUGACGAACUACCGCCACAAAAUAAAUGAUGCUCGAAGAAAUCGUACUUAAAGGCCACUGUUAUGAACUUGCCACAAUGCAGUAUGUGAUUUCUAAGACCAUCGAACAAAUCGUACUGUCGUAGUGGUCCCCCCCUCGGAAACUGUUGUGUUUUCGUAUGCAACUACGCAUGCACCUCCAUGGUUUUCGCAUGAACGCCAUGCUUUCUUUUAACUAUAGUGAACAAACAAUUGCUGCAAGUCCCAAUGCCCAUCUCUCUGGAAACUUGAAGUAGUACAAUGUGUUUGCUUGAUCGGUCGCAUGCAGCCUCUGUUAAGGAAAGACGCGUAUAUGCAAUGCACUCUUCCACCGAAAUUACCAAACGACGAACAGCCUACCCCGCAUACGUCCAUCCGAUUGCUGUUUCCCAGCUGGGUCAAACGAAGGCGCACCCCAUUUGGCUGGUUGUCCCAGGUGCGGACCAACAGGUGGCAACCUAAUAAAUCGCUUCCUAUAUUUCCUCCGCGCAAGCUGCCAAACGGGGCUCGAUCCUAGGAUAUUGUGUGCAACGGCUUUCGCUCCGCAGCCCCGGGUUGAGGGCACGCGCGUGCGAUCCCCACAGGCGGUUAAAGGCGGUGGUUACGGGCGGUCCCGGGCUCCGCUCGCCGCAGACGAUCUAGGGGGGGCGGGGGGGGGCUCGCAUCUUCGCCGCACACGUACACGCGCCCCUCGUGGCCGCGACCCGACGCUGCGGCUGCGGCUCGCUCCUCCCACCCCCCUUGGCCUUGCCCUUUUAAAGCGGAGGAGCCCGUUGGUUUCCACUUGUUAUCCAUCUCACGGUUCCGUUCGCCACUUCCACCCACCCCAACCCUCAUUGCUUCCUUCCUUUUUUUUUCGAUCCACCGCGACGCGGAGCGCCUCCGGGUCGCCGCAGCGAAAGGGAAUGGGUAGGGGAGGCAUCGGAGGAGCCGGGGCGGCGAGCGCCGCGGCCAUGGAGAACAGCGACUCCACCCGCUGCUUCGUCAGGGACGUCAAGCGCAUCGUCAUCAAGGUGACGAUAUAUGAAUCGUAACAUGGCUUUGGCUUUCCUCUGCCUUGAUACGAACGAGGCGUCCUCUCGUCCUCUGCCUCUGCGGAUCGAAUGCCGCCGUGUUGUUUCAUGCUGCUAGGUUUUCUUUCUUACCGGCGUGAUCCUAGUUUGGUUGGUGCUCGGUGAAACUCGAUGCUAGCAGAAUUUUUUUCUUUGGUUCCGAUCUGAUGUUAUCGAGGACGAGAAACUGAAUUAGUAAAGUAUCUGACGACAAAAAUAGUGCAGUACCGAUUUGCUGCCUCCUGUUUAUAUAUAGUACUAUUAAAUCAUGCCUAGGUCUUUUAUUAAUCCCACUUGUACAACGAUGGAGGAGAUCGAGACUAAAUUGCUAGGUAGUAAGUUGGUAUUUUGUUCGUUGGCUCCAUCUAAUUCACUGCCUCUUUCUUACCACAGGUGGGCACCGCCGUUGUUACCGGGCAGAAUGGCCGAUUGGCUAUGGGCAGGCUCGGGGCUCUCUGUGAGCAGGUAAAAUUUCUGACAGGUCACGUGCUUUAGCUAAUGGAUCUCGUCCUAAUCAAUACAGUAUCAGCUAAUUAUGUGGAAAUAUUUCAGGUGAAGGAACUGAAUUUCCAGGGGUAUGAGGUGAUUCUGGUCACCUCCGGGGCUGUUGGUGUCGGGAGGCAGAGGCUCAAGUACCGAAAGCUUAUCAAUAGCAGGUUGUGGAGAGUUUGGAUCAGAACUGUUCGUUCAUCGUCACUAGUUUUGGUGUGAUGACAUUGCUUGCUGAUUAAUUCUCCUUGCCUGCAGUUUUGCGGAUCUGCAGAAUCCACAGUUGGACCUGGAUGGGAAGGCCUGUGCUGCUGUCGGUCAGAGCGGCCUAAUGGCCAUCUACGACACACUGUUUAGCCAAGUGCGAUUUCCUAGAUAAAUAUGCUGGUGUUCUUUGUGUUUUUGUUGAAGUUAAUGUGUUCCUGACAUUAAAAUCAUCUCGCUACAGCUUGAUGUAACAUCAUCUCAACUUCUUGUUACGGAUCGUGAUUUUCUGGAUCCAAGUUUCGGGCACCAGCUCCGCGAGACUGUCAUCUCUCUGUUAGAUCUUAAAGUAAUACCGGUCUUUAAUGAGAAUGACGCUAUCAGUACCAGGAAACAGCCAUACGAGGUGUGCUUUCUGUCAAGAACAUUGCCUUCUUCAUACAGGAGCCUUCUGAAUUCCGCUAACAACUGCGCUGUUCUGUGCCUCUUCACUGGAUAUAACAAUUAACUUCAUUUCUAGGAUUCAUCUGGUAUAUUCUGGGAUAACGACAGUUUGGCGACACUAUUGGCGCAAGAACUGAAUGCUGAUCUUCUUAUCAUGCUUAGUGAUGUGGAGGGACUCUAUAGUGGUCCACCAAGUGAUCCUCAAUCAAAGAUUAUCCACACAUACAUUACUGAAAAACACGGGAGACUGAUUAAUUUUGGGGAGAAGUCUCGUGUAGGAAGAGGUGGAAUGCAAGCUAAAGUGGCGGCUGCUGUUACUGCUGCAUCAAAGGGCGUACCUGCUGUAAUUGCAAGGUGACUACAACCUUUUCCUUGGUAUUAUAGCAUGAAUUUUUGUUAUCAUAGCAUGAAUCUUUUCAUAUGCAUACCUACUAAAUAUUCCCAUUAGGUCAAGAUACUGCAAGAUUACUAUAUGGUUAGUCAAUGGGCCAGCUACCAUAUUUGUGCAAUCAGUGAUUACUUAUUAAACUAUUGCUGCUAUAAUUGGAUUUUGAAAGUAUUCAAGUAAAUAAUUGGUAAUUAGUUAUGGACAUUUUAAUGCAUGGGUUUUUAACAUUAGAUAGUCCAAUGGGGCACUACUCUGGCCUGUUUGUGUUGAUAUAUAGUUUGAAUAACUUUCUUAAUUCUUAAGUAUCAAACUUCCCAUUCGCAUCUUCAAAGUGCCACCAGCCACGUUUAGCGUUUGAUUACUUCGUUGAAGAUCUAGGGAGGCCUUUGCUUUCUUUUUUUCAUGUACGAAAUCUUGUGGUGCAUUUUACCUGCAACUGACAUCAGUCGCCUUAUGCUUACCACUGUUCCAAACUGAGUUUAUGUCUACCUGUAAGAUAAUUCAGCUCUGCUGUUAACCUUUUGUUACUACUAUAUCCAUGAAGUGGAUUUGCAAUAGAUAGCAUCAUCAAGGUUAUGCGCGGAGAGAAAAUCGGUACACUUUUCCAUAAUGAAGCAAAUUUCUGGGAUUGCUCGAAGGAAGUGACAACCCGUGAGAUGGCGGUUGCUGCAAAAGAUUGCUCAAGACAUCUACAGGUAUCCUUUUCUUUCCUUCCAGAAACAGUGAGGCAUUUUAGGUAAUACUAAAAUAUAUUGUUAUUUCUUGUCAAAGUAAAGUUUGCGUCGCCUUGAUAUUUUUUGUUUUCUGGCUGCCAUUGCUUAUUUAUAAUGUUCAUGUGGCUACUCAAACAGAAUUUGUCAUCAGAGGAGCGUAAGAAAAUUCUUCUAGACAUUGCUGACGCUCUAGAAGCAAAUGAGGAUUUGAUUACAUCUGAAAAUGAAGCUGAUCUAGCUGCGGCACAAGAUGCUGGUUAUGAGAAAUCUUUGGUAGCUAGGAUGACCUUGAAGGCAGGAAAGGUGUGUCAAGUAUAUAUUUCUUCAUCUCAGCAGCAUUAUUUAUUCAACUAUUUGAUUAUGUUUUUUAUCAUGUCAUAUUUUCUCAGUAUAUUAACUAUUUGUAGAUAACAAGUCUUGCGAGAUCCAUUCGUGCAAUUGCGGACAUGGAGGACCCUAUUUCCCAUACACUGAAAAAAACAGAGGUGAAGGCGAUGGACCAUAUUUUGAAUUUUGAUUUUUUUUAUGACUCUUGUAGUAUUAAGAUUAAAUUAUAAUUUCCUGUAGUUUAAAUUUUUAACCAAUCAAGGACUUGUUUUGUAGAUUGCAAAGGAUUUAGUUUAUGAGAAGAUGUACUGCCCACUGGGUGUUCUCCUAAUUAUUUUUGAGUCUCGUCCUGAUGCCCUGGUCCAGGUAAAGUUACUUGGGUACAACAAAUCAUCCAAAAUAGUUUCAAGCUCAGCUGUUCUUUACGAUCAACUUUUUUAUUGUACAGAUUGCAGCUCUAGCAAUCCGAAGUGGAAAUGGGCUUCUUUUGAAAGGAGGGAAAGAAGCUAUGAGAUCAAACACAAUAUUACAUAAGGUAUGCUGCAUUUAGUUAGCUUUCAGUGUUCUUUGUAAUGCAACAUUUUUAGCUUAAUCAUGCUUCUGGCAUAUCAUUUGAUGUUUUUAUUAGGUCAUAACUGGCGUGAUUCCAGAUGUUGUUGGUAAAAAGCUUAUUGGCCUUGUAAAAAGCAAAGAUGAAAUUGCUGAUUUGCUAAAGGUGAGCAUGUCGUUUGAUUCUUGGAUGAUGAAUACAUGAAUAUGUUUUCCUGCAAACUAACAAAAACAUCACAUAAACUUGUCUAAACUGGAUGCACACUAUGCAGCUUGAUGAUGUGAUUGAUCUUGUUAUUCCGAGAGGCAGUAAUAAGCUUGUUUCUCAAAUCAAAGCAGCAACUAAGAUUCCCGUUCUUGGUCAUGCUGGUAAGCCAUCUUUUUUCCACCAAAUUACUCUUAGAAUGAUAUAAUUAUAUUUCAGCUUAUGUUUUUGAAUGGGGUAUUUCAUCAUACACAUUAAGUAAAUCAUGUUUUAUAUGCCAUUUAAGUAUAUAAAGAAUGAACUUAUUUUUAUUGCUCUACAGAUGGUAUCUGCCAUGUUUAUAUUGAUAAAUCAGCUGACAUGGAUAUGGCAAAACGUAUUGUACUGGAUGCAAAGGUUGAUUAUCCGGCAGCGUGUAAUGCUAUGGUACGUCCGACUUUAAUAUAUGUCCAAUAUUUAAUAUUUUCAUCAUAAUGGAUUUUAUUUUUAAACCAGAUUAACCAUUUCUGACAUGAAUGAUUAAUAAAUGGACUAAGUGUUAUGUGUACCAUCUGAGCAGGAAACACUGCUUGUUCAUAAAGAUCUGAACAAGACAGAGGGUCUUGAUGAUUUAUUGAUGGAACUUGCAAAAGAAGGUAUUAGCUCACAGCCUCACACCCUUGAAGUCAAAUAUGCCAUUAGUGUAUUUUUGUGCUUCCUGAAAAUGUAUUAUACUGAGUUCAAAACUACUCCCUCCGAUCCAUAAUAAGUGUCUCAGAGUUAGUACAAUUAUAUACUGAGUUAGUACAAAAUCUAAGACACUUAUUAUGGAUCGGAGGGAGUAAUAAGCAUGUUUGUAGUUAUGUUUCAUCCAUAAAUCUAAUAGUGGAUAUCAUAUGUUCGGAAUAUGCAAUAUCAGUGUCAAUUCAAAUUAUAUUGGCUUGCAGUCUAGAACUAAUCCCCAGUGUGAAUUUCUAUGUAAGUUCUACACACCACUGGCGACAAGAUUACUGAUGCUACAUGUGAAGAGCAUGUUUUUUUGAUUUAUGAGCUGUGUCAUAUUUUUUUAAUGGAAAACUAUAGUGGGGCCCUGACAGCAAAAUGUAUUAAUAGUUGAUGUCAUAUUGCAGGAGUUGUUAUUUAUGGUGGGCCUGUUGCACAUGACACGUUGAAAGUACCAAAGGUAGAUUCAUUUCACCAUGAGUAUAGUUCAAUGGCAUGCACCCUUGAAUUUGUUGAUGAUGUACAAUCAGCGAUUGACCAUAUAAAUCGUUAUGGAAGGUAUGCAGGUUUCUUUUAUAAUAUAAUCUCCAUGGUUGCUUUUUUUUGUUAUACUAAAUAUUAUUGUCAAACAUUUUUUAUCCAGUGCACACACGGAUUGUAUUAUCACGACUGAUAAGAAGUCAGCAGAUACUUUUCUGCAACAAGUUGAUAGGUAUUUAGUUAAAAUUCCUUUAAAGUCUUAUGGUUGCAAGAUAUGGUCAUUCUAGCUUUGUUCAUUCUCAUUACUGAUUUAUUUGAUAAAAUCUGGAUCUAACUAUUGAAAUGACAUUUCAUGAACUGCAACAGUGCUGCUGUGUUCCAUAAUGCAAGCACAAGGUUCUGUGAUGGGACCCGCUUUGGUCUUGGUGCAGAGGUAUUGCCAUUUCAUCAUGUGUGCGCACAAGCUGUUUGUUAGUUUUAUUAUUACUUUGUAAUGUUAUAACAUGAAAAUUUUGGUUUUUGAUGCCAUGUACUCCCUCAGAUCCAUAAUAAGUUAUUAUUAUGGAUCAGAGGGAGUAACUCUUUUGUUCCAUCUUCUUAGUAGACACCUGAUAAUUUGUUUGAAUUAUACAUUGUUUUUAGGCCAUCUCGAACUAUUUAGUUUAGCAAGUUUUGUGUUCAAAACAUCAUGUUUAGAAGAAUUACAACAAAAAUUAUGAACUUGCAAGUAAACAUGUAAAUUUUUGGUGCACUAAAAUUCAUGUCCACUCCAAGAGCCACUGCAGAUAUUUUUUUCACUGGUUGUUUUGGUGCAUCUACUUCAGCAAGGGGCAAAACUAUCCUAGAGACAGAUCUAAGCAAAAGAUGAGCUGUCCUUUUAGAUGCACCUGGUCAUAUUGUUCUACACCAGCAUUGUCUCGAGUUUGAAGUUAGAUGUGCCGUUUGGUGUAAACUAAUUUGUGUGUCAAAUGCUAUAAAUGGCUCUGAUGCAAAAAAUCUUUCAGUUGUAUCUUUCUGAAUCUUUUCAAAUGUCUUGAAUAGGUUGGCAUAAGUACAGGGCGCAUACAUGCUCGGGGACCUGUUGGUGUCGAUGGGCUUCUAACUACUCGAUGGUAGGUUUUUAUGCCAUAUAUUUUUCUCUAAUCACUUUUCCUUGUCAUCUUGUCUCCGACAAAUUUUGUAACAUAACUUUCAUACGAGUGCAUUCUGUGUGAAUAAUAGCUACUUAUGCUUUGGUUUUCGAUUACAUUGUAUAGCAUUCUGCGAGGGAGUGGACAAGUAGUGAACGGUGACAAGGGAGUCAUGUAUACCCACAGGGAGCUUCCUUUGCAAUGAGUAAGUCAUGGUUUAUUUACUUCAUUUCGAUUUGACAAAAUACUAAACUGGGUAUUUACUAACCUUCAACUUCCUCCACUGCAGGUAACAGACUCCUUCUGUAGAGCAAUUUUUGUAGACAAGUCGCUGGACUCCCUCUUCAAUGCUCGUCUUUAUGCCUAGAAUGAACUCAAAAACGGAUGCUAUGUUGUUAUGUAGUUCUGUGAUGUCACCUAUUCGUUGUACAACGAUUUAUCGAUACAAUGUUGUUAUUGCUCUAGUCGUACCUAUUGGAUUGCAUGGGUGCAUCUAUUAUGGUAGAUGUUUGAGAUGAAGUACCAGAUCUCUUGUCAUGUUGUCUUUUUACGGCAUGCGUACACAAUGAGCACAGGUCGUCUUCUGAAAUGGCUAUUUAAAUCAUGUGGCUGAAAAACUGCCCACUUCCGACAUCCUGCAUGGGCUGAGACUUCUGUUUGAUCCUUGAGCAGUAGCACUCUUGUCAAGAAGAAUCGAACAGGUUCUGUGCUGCUGAACUUAACAAGCUUUGGCCUAGGCACGGCACACCCCCCCCCCCCAGACUGGGCACAGAGAAAAAUUGGCGAAGUAGGCUGAAUUGAAAACAGUCCUUCUAGUACGACAGCUUUGUGGCAGCAUUGCGAAGAACUCAGUCUGACAUCCCAACUAAUACAACUAAUAUUGCUCUCAAGUCUUGCACAAUGCAACCCCUGAUCAUAAGUUAUCUUUACUUGUAUAUGUUCAACAAAUCUCAAGACUGAAUGUCAAGAUUAGCAAGAAUACAUCCAGGUCCAGUGUCCAGAGGAGCAAAUUACAUCAAAAUGUGUCAGGACACCAUUACUUCGAAAAAAGGCAUUAAAGGGGUCCUAUUGCAACCGUAUCAAAAUUGCCUUGCAGAAGUUCCAUUGAUCUCCAAGUGAAGACCAGAAACUAUUUUGAGGUUCCUCCUGAAAGACUGGGUCAUCAUGGUUAAUCUAAUCAUCCUAGGCUGUACAAACUGUUCCUACUUUUUCUUGGCCAGUGUGAUCAGUAAAGAUUAAAAAAGACCAUCAACUUCGCAGCAUUUUCACCAGUAAUCGCCACAGGAACAAACUCCAUCCCUGAAGUGGUGAAACCGAUUCACAUCCCUCACGACAAUCUCCCGCUCUGUGAAUUUGGAGAUAAACUUGGUGACUGAAUGACAAUCCUCGCAUAGCCUGAGGUUCUUGGUGAUCCUGAUAACUUCACCACUGCAAGUGUUGAUAAGUCCAAAAGCAACUGCCAGCUUCUCACUGUGACCAAUCAAAAUCCUUUCCUUUUCUUCUCCUUCAAUAUCAUACAGAACAAUCCCUGUAUCAGGGACGUAGCCUUGAUUCUUCAUCUGUGCCACAAACUCACCUAUCAGAGCUUGAAGCUGCUCAACAGGUGGGUUCUUGUUGUCCACAGACGUAAAGGAGUGUAGCUUCUUCUUCACCUCUAUCCAGCUACAACCAGUCACCUUCUCCAGCGCAUGCUCCUCGAGAAGCUCCUUUAGCACGCCAACUUGAUUGUGCAAUUUAGCUCGAGCAUAAAUAUCAGCAAGGAGUACAUAGUUACCUGCAUUUCUGGGUUCAAGAUCAAAGAGAUGAGAGCAAGCUAUCUCGGCAUACUCCACAUGCCCAUGAAUACGGCAAGCUCCAAGAAGUGCGCCCCAUACUUGAGGACUCGGCUCAAUGUGCAUGCUCCUUAUGAGCUCCAUAGCUUCAUCCAACUGCCCAGCACGACCAAGGAGAUCUACCAUGCAAGCAUAGUGCUCUGCACGAGGCGUAACACCAUACUCCACCAUUGACUCAAACAACAUCUUCCCCUCGUUCACAAGUCCUGCGUGGCUACAAGCCCCAAGGACACUGAUAAAUGUGAUGAUACUUGGUGAAAACCCCACAUGGAUCAUUUCCUCAAACACCUGAACUGCCUCAGGGCCGAAGCCAUGCAUUCCAUAUCCAGAUAUAAGUGAAUUCCACGACACAACAUCCCUCCUAUGUCCUAUCCAUUUGAAGAUAUGCCGGCCAACUUCAAGGCAUCCACAUCUCAUGUACAUUGCCAUCAAUGCGUUCAGUACUGAAACAAGUGAAUCAAAGCCUCUCCGGAGGAUAUAUGCAUGCAAUAGUUUGCCAUGACUGAGUGCGUUCACUCCUGCACACGCAUUCAAGACGCUUACUAUUGUGAUCGAGUUAGGCACAAGGUCUGCAUCAGAAGCCAUCAUAUCCUUGAAUAGUUCAAUGGCAUCAGCUGGUCGCUCAUUCUUAGCAUAGCACCCAAUCAUGGCACUCCAGGAAACAACGUUCCUCUCUGGCAUUGCAGCAAAUACACUCUCAGCAUAUCUGACGAUCCCAAGCUUUGCAUAGCAGUCGAUAAGAGUGGUGGCAACAUGCGUGUGCAGUGCGUAACCACGGCGGAUGGCAUGUGCGUGCACCUCCCGUACACGGGCGGAGGCUGGUGCGUGCGAUGCUGACACAGCGAUGCAGGCCUUGAGUCCGUGCGUGUAGCUGUAGCUGUCGACAGGGACGCCGAGCCGACCCAUGUCGGCCAGGCGCGCGAGUGCCUCGUCACCAUGGUCGGCGAGCGCGAGGGCCUUGAGCAGCGCGUUCCAUACGAAGAUGUUCUUGACGGGCGUCUCGUCGAACACCUGGCGUGCGGCCGGGAGCGCGCCUAGCGCGGCGUAGGCUUCGAUGAGGCGGGUCGAGAGGAAUGGGUCGGAGCGGAAGACCGGGUCGGCCUCGAGCCUCCGGUGGACGGCCGCGGCGAGCGCGGCGUCCCUGGCCCGCGCGGCGGCGAGGAGGAGCGACUCGUAAGUGCGCUGCGUGGGCGCGGGGAGGCCCGGGAGGAGCGCAGCGGCGCGCGCGAGGCGACCGUUGGCGCAGAGCGUCUGGAUGAGGUGGUUCGCGUUUGCCGGCUGCGCCGCGCCCGGCGAAGACGAGAGGGGCCUGCAGCGCGUGAGCGUUUGCCGCUUGGCGCCAACGCCAAACACCGCCUGGUGAGAGAGGUGGAGCGAUGUGGGGGCGGAGGCGAACAUGGGGAGGAGGGGGCGGAGGCGGGGUGGCUUCACCGUGGGGAUGAGGCUUGCGCCACUGCGCCGGCGUGGGAGAUAUUUUGGGCUGGGUUGUGGCCGGAGGCGGGGAGGAGUGGCACCGCGCCGCGCGGAGCCGGAGAAACGUGAGGAUUUUAUUUUGCACGAUUUUUUGUGGAUUCGGUAGGCGGAUGGGCUCGGUAUUCUCGUGCAUUCUGGAGCCUGGAGCCGCUGGAGCAGGUUUUGGGCUGCAGAUGGGUCGGCGGCGGCCACUCGGCGCGCUCUUUGCACACACAGAGACCGAAAAGGCCUAGCUUUGUAUCGUAGAUCCACGGUUGAUGGUUUGCUGUUUGAUAAGUCUAUAAGAAGGCCCAACAUGGCUUUACCAUUCUUGUGCUACAGUAUAUAAGCCCAAAUGGGCACUUCUAUAAGCAAGGCCCAAGCUCUAAAUGUAAAAAAACAAAAAUGUUACUCUCUCUGAUCCAUAAUGCUUUCUACUGAGUUAGUACAAGGAUCGGCCGGAGUGACUACUUGUACACUAAAAUAAAUACAAGUGAACGACUUGUUCUAAAAAUGUCGACGACUUCGAGCAACAUCCCAAAUUCGUCCCCGCGCUCGUAAGAUCAAUGGAUGCUUGUCGAAUAAAUGGAAGAAGCUGAAAAGGCAGGAAAGAUUAGACGGUGCAAAUGAGAUGUUUGUUUCCCGGGCUGGAUUGAAUUUAAGUUUAAUUUUUAUUAUGAUGCAUACAUUUGGUGUUCACGUGGUAUUUCAGCUUGUCUUGAAAAUCUCAUAACUUCUAUGGAGGUGUUUAGGGUCGGAGUAUAGGGAGCAAUCAAAUAACUAGUAUGUGUGUCUAUAUAUUAAAUUGGAGUCGGUGGUGAUUGCCGCGGACGCCGUACGUCAACUUCAUUAAAUUUACAUGAGUAUGCCACCGCGCCCCCUCCUGUACAUCCCGAUGCGAACCCCGCUCCCUUCGUGUAAAAAAAAAACCUCUCUUGUCUUCCUGACCAACGCUCGCCGCCUCCUCCGACCGCUGCUUCUCCUCCCUCCGCCGCAAGCCUCGCGUCUCGUUCUACACGCCGCAGCCGCCCUCCUCCUCUGCGAGCGCCGUCUCCACCCGGAAAGAUCUAUGGACGGCCCGUCGUCGCCGCGCUCCUCCCCUGCGCACGCCGUCAUGGAGACUGGAUCCGCCACCGCCGCCAUGGAUAAUAAACGGUCUGAGAGAGAGUCGAUGAGUCAGUCCAUCGGGGAAGAUGAGCUGGACGAGCCGUGGAGAUGAGAGAGAGGCGACGAGGCGACGUGUCUCUGAAGUCGCUCACGCGCACGAAAGUCAACCAUGGCCGCCGAGGCAGCAACAGCAGAAGAGGCGCCGCAUGAAGCGGCGGCGGCCCUCGCGAGCUUGCUGCAGCCGCACAUGGCCUCGGCCUUCUUUGCGUUGGCUGCGUGCACCGUGGCGAGAUUGGCAGAAUCGAAGCGCUGUCCCUCUUCCAUGACCAUGCCCAUUCCCUCUUCCCAGACCAUGGCGUGCCCAAUUGCCCUGUCUCUAGAGGCGAAGCACCGCAGCUAACGAGGCGCAGUCCGACGAGAUCUAGGCAGAGAGAAGGAGAUGUGGGGUCCGUGAGGACAGAACGUUCCAUGCCUUGUGCUUCAUCUCGUGAGCUCCUCAUUCAGAUUUAUUCCUUGAUUCAACAAAUCAAUGAACUCAGCCUCUAUUAAGACAUAGGGCGAUGGAGAUUUUUUCUUUCUUUUUUCUGAGAUUCUGUUUUGGUUGUUUGUUCUUUCCAGAUAUUUGUUCUUGCAUUUUUCUAUGACAGAUCUUGUUACUUUCCGUUCAUGGUUCAGAUUUUUUUUCCAAAUGUUCAUGUUUCUGAUCUUGUUUCAUUUAGUUCUUGCAAUUAGUUCAUGGUCAGGGAAGACAAAGACGAAAGGGAGAUUACAAUUAGAAUAUAAUAAAACCAUAAGAGGAGGAAUAGCAGGAAGAGAUUUGGCCAA
rnacentral:lncRNA from 1 species